CCUCCGGUAACCUCCAUUCCUAGCAUGGUGACUGGAACGUGUCGGUACCCAAUAGGACACACUGCACGGCAGCAGAGUGAGCGAGCGAGAGGCUGGACCCUGGACGUGCCAGUGACCUGGCUUCAGCUAUAUGUGAGAAGAUGUUAUCUUAGGGGAGGGUAGAGCCAUGAUGCAGAAGGCAUGUGGGUCCCUGAGUGACUCUUCGGAGCAGAGACGCCGAGAGAGAGGAGUAACGUCCUAAGUUACCGUGAAUGGGAUCGCUCUGUUUCAACGACUUAGCCUGGACUUGACCUUCACCUCUCCUCCAUGCAUUCCCUGGUUUAUUAUUUAUAUUUAUUAUGUAUCUAUCAUCUUAUAUAUUUAUUGUUCUGCCUAGCAUCUAAGAGACCCAGUGCUUUCCUUCGUCGGCUCAGCAUGUCUUUCUUCACUGGAAUAUAAGUUCUCGAAGGGCA
rnacentral:lncRNA from 1 species